AUUGAACGCUGGCGGAAUGCUUUACACAUGCAAGUCGAACGGCAGCACGGACUUCGGUCUGGUGGCGAGUGGCGAACGGGUGAGUAAUGUAUCGGAACGUGCCCAGUCGUGGGGGAUAACGUAGUGAAAAUUACGCUAAUACCGCAUACGAUCUAUGGAUGAAAGCGGGGGAUCGCAAGACCUCGCGCGAUUGGAGCGGCGGUUGGCAGAUUAGGUAGUUGGUGGGGUAAAGGCUCCCCAAGCCAAAGAUCUGUAGCUGGUCUGAGAGGACGACCAGCCCAACUGGAACUGUGAGACAGUGCAGCCUCCUACGGGAGGCAGCGGUGGGGGAUUGUGGACAAUGGGCGCAAGCCUGAUCCAGCCAUUCCGCGUGCAGGAUGACGGCCCUCGGGUUGUAAACUGCUUUUGUACAGAACGAAAAGGUUUCUACUGAUACUAGGAGCUCAUGGCGGUACUGUAAGAAUAAGCACCGGCUAACUACGUGCCAGCCGCCGCGUUAA
rnacentral:rRNA from 1 species